AGUGGCGGACGGGUGAGUAACGCGUGAGCAACCUGCCCUUCGGAGGGGGAUAGUGUCUGGAAACGGACAGUAAUACCGCAUAACGUAUUUUUACCGCAUGAUAGAAAUACCAAAACUGAGGUGCCGAAGGAUGGGCUCGCGUUGGAUUAGAUAGUUGGUGGGGUAACGGCCUACCAAGUCAACGAUCCAUAGCCGGACUGAGAGGUUGAACGGCCACAUUGGGACUGAGACACGGCCCAGACUCCUACGGGAGGCAGCAG
rnacentral:rRNA from 1 species